GCCUUCGUGGUGUAGUGGUCAGAACCCUCGACGCGUAAUCGAGAGGUCCGUGGUUCGAUUCCCGGCGAAGGCG
rfam:Stegodyphus mimosarum contig77152, whole genome shotgun sequence.